rnacentral:rRNA from 1 species
ACGCUCGACACCUAUGGGAGGCAGCAGUGGGGAAUAUUGCACAAUGGAGGAAACUCUGAUGCAGCGAUGCCGCGUGAGGGAAGAAGGUUUUCGGAUUGUAAACCUCUGUCUUUGGGGACGAUAAUGACGGUACCCAAGGAGGAAGCUCCGGCUAACUACGUGCCAGCAGCCGACGGUAAUCUGAGGCGGGCGUGGACGAAGGC